AUUGAACGCUGGCGGCAUGCUUUACACAUGCAAGUCGAACGGCAGCGCGGGCUUCGGCCUGGCGGCGAGUGGCGAACGGGUGAGUAAUACAUCGGAACGUGCCCAGUAGUGGGGGAUAGCUCGGCGAAAGCCGGAUUAAUACCGCAUACGACCUGAGGGUGAAAGCGGGGGAUCUUCGGACCUCGCGCUAUUUGAGCGGCCGAUGGCAGAUUAGCUAGUUGGUGGGGUAAAGGCCUACCAAGGCGACGAUCUGUAGCUGGUCUGAGAGGACGACCUGCCACACUGGAACUGAGACACGGCCCAGACUCCUACGGGAGGCAGCAGUAGGGAAUUUUAGGCAAUGGGCGAAAGCCUGAUAGAGCAAGGCCGCGUGUGUGAUGAAGGCCUUCGGGUUGUAAAGCACUUUUGGCGGGAACGAAAAGAAGUGUGCCAAUAAAACGAUUCGAUGACGGUACCCGAAGAAUAAGCACCGGCUAACUACGUG
rnacentral:rRNA from 1 species